rnacentral:rRNA from 1 species
AGGACGAACGCUGGCGGCGUGCUUAACACAUGCAAGUCGAACGGAAAGGCCUGCAGCUUGCUGCGGGUACUCGAGUGGCGAACGGGUGAGUAACACGUGGGUGAUCUGCCUUGCACUUCGGGAUAAGCUUGGGAAACUGGGUCUAAUACCGGAUAGGACAGCUGUUUAGUGUCAGUUGUGGAAAGUUUUUUCGGUGCAAGAUGAGCUCGCGGCCUAUCAGCUUGUUGGUGGGGUAAUGGCCUACCAAGGCGUCGACGGGUAGCCGGCCUGAGAGGGUGUACGGCCACAUUGGGACUGAGAUACGGCCCAGACUCCUACGGGAGGCAGCAGUGGGGAAUAUUGCACAGUGGGCGGAAGCCUGAUGCAGCGACGCCGCGUGGGGGAUGAAGGCCUUCGGGUUGUAAACUCCUUUCGACAGGGACGAAGCGUAAGUGACGGUACCUGUAUAAGAAGCACCGGCUAACUACGUGCCAGCAGCCGCGGUAAUACGUAGGGUGCGAGCGUUGUCCGGAAUUACUGGGCGUAAAGAGCUCGUAGGUGGUUUGUCGCGUCGUCUGUGAAAUUCCGGGGCUUAACUCCGGGCGUGCAGGCGAUACGGGCUGACUUGAGUGCUGUAGGGGAGACUGGAAUUCCUGGUGUAGCGGUGAAAUGCGCGGAUAUCAGGAGGAACACCGAUGGCGAAGGCAGGUCUCUGGGCAGUAACUGACGCUGAGGAGCGAAAGCAUGGGUAGCGAACAGGAUUAGAUACCCUGGUAGUCCAUGCCGUAAACGGUGGGCGCUAGGUGUAGGGGGCUUCCACGUCUUCUGUGCCGUAACUAACGCAUUAAGCGCCCCGCCUGGGGAGUACGGCCGCAA